UCAGGCCUCCUGGGGGUGUCCCCAGUGCAGCCAUGAUGAUAAUCACAGCUACCAUUCACCAAGCCCUGCCCACAGUCUAACCUACUCUAUUCACAACACUCCCAGCAGCAAGGCAAGUGAGGUGCUGCCGUCAUCCAGGCUGGACAGUUCAGUGAUUUGCCUGAGGCCCCACAGCAGAGUUCAACUGGAGACAGAGAAACCAGCUAGAGGCAGAGGGAGGUAACACGGAGUCCCCCAGAAAGGUCUGGGCUGUGCGUGCUUCAGGUAACCUCACUUGACCUUCAGGAGAACGAGAAGGCUGCCUGAUCAGAGAGUCUCUGAAGAAGAUUCUGUGGCUACAGGCUUCAGCAGAGUGUGAGGGAGACCCCGGUUAUUUCCUCAGCUGUUUCCACCAAAUCCUCCUGUCUUUUGUGGCCAACACCCCAGGCAAGGCUUGGGGCCCCUGUCUGCUGCUGGACGCAGAGCCAUGAAGAAGAAGUUAGUGGUGCUGGGCCUGCUGGCCGUGGUCCUGGUGCUGGUCAUUGUCGGCCUCUGUCUCUGGCUGCCCUCAGCCUCCAAGGAACCUGACAACCAUGUGUACACCAGGGCUCCCGUGGCUGCGGAUGCCAAGCGGUGCUCGGAGAUUGGGAGGAGGGCUGUCGGUGGCGGUGCCUGGGGAGAUCUGAGGCUAUGAGCUGGCACACCAGCGGCAUGGGUGGCUGCCCUGGGCUCGCCUCUUCCAGCCCAGCAUCCAGCUGGCCCGCCAGGGCUUCCCCGUGGGCAAGGGCUUGGCAGCAGCCCUGGAAAACAAGCGGACCGUCAUCGAGCUGCAGCCUGUCUUGUGUGAGGUGUUCUGCCGGGAUAGAAAGGUGCUUCGGGAGGGGGAGAGACUGACCCUGCCGCGGCUGGCUGACACCUACGAGACGCUGGCCAUCGAGGGUGCCCAGGCCUUCUACAACGGCAGCCUCACGGCCCAGAUUGUGAAGGACAUCCAGGCGGCCGGGGGCAUUGUGACAGCUGAGGACCUGAACAACUACCGUGCUGAGCUGAUCGAGCACCCGCUGAACAUCAGCCUGGGAGACGCGGUGCUCUACAUGCC